AUUGAACGCUGGCGGAAUGCUUUACACAUGCAAGUCGAACGGCAGCACGGACUUCGGUCUGGUGGCGAGUGGCGAACGGGUGAGUAAUGUAUCGGAACGUGCCCAGUCGUGGGGGAUAACGUAGUGAAAAUUACGCUAAUACCGCAUACGAUCUAUGGAUGAAAGCGGGGGAUCGCAAUACCUCGCGCGAUUGGAGCGGCCGAUAUCAGAUUAGGUAGCUGGUGGGGUAAAGGCCCACCAAGCCAAUGAUCCGUAGCUGGUCUGAGAGGACGACCAGCCACACUGGAACUGAGACACGGUCCAGACUCCUACGGGAGGCAGCAGUGGGGAAUUUCGGACAAUGGGCGAAAGCCUGAUCCAGCCAUUCCGCGUGCAGGAUGAAGGCCCUCGGGUUGUAAACUGCUUUUGUACAGAACGAAAAGGUUUCUACUAAUACUAGGAGCUCAUGACGGUACUGUAAGAAUAAGCACCGGCUAACUACGUGCCAGCCGCCGCAGUAA
rnacentral:rRNA from 1 species